GAUGAACGCUGGCGGCGUGCCUAAUACAUGCAAGUCGAGCGAACAGAUAAGGAGCUUGCUCCUUUGACGUUAGCGGCGGACGGGUGAGUAACACGUGGGUAACCUACCUAUAAGACUGGAAUAACUCCGGGAAACCGGGGCUAAUGCCGGAUAACAUUUAGAACCGCAUGGUUCUAAAGUGAAAGAUGGUUUUGCUAUCACUUAUAGAUGGACCCGCGCCGUAUUAGCUAGUUGGUAAGGUAAUGGCUUACCAAGGCAACGAUACGUAGCCGACCUGAGAGGGUGAUCGGCCACACUGGAACUGAGACACGGUCCAGACUCCUACGGGAGGCAGCAGUAGGGAAUCUUCCGCAAUGGGCGAAAGCCUGACGGAGCAACGCCGCGUGAGUGAUGAAGGGUUUCGGCUCGUAAAACUCUGUUAUUAGGGAAGAACAAACGUGUAAGUAACUGUGCGCGUCUUGACGGUACCUAAUCAGAAAGCCACGGCUAACUACGUGCCAGCAGCCGCCGUAAGAC
rnacentral:rRNA from 1 species